rnacentral:rRNA from 1 species
GAUGAACGCUGGCGGCGUGCUUUACACAUGCGAGUCGAGCGGAAGGACGCGACGAUUGCCUCACUGAUGUCAACGGCGGACGUGAGAGUAACACGUGGAUACCCUCCUUAUAAGUCUGUGCUCACAUCGGGAACUCGUAGCUCAUACCGGAUGAUAUUUUGAACCGGAUGGCUCAAAAGUGAAAGCCGGUCUUGCUGUCACUUUUAGAUGGAUCCGUGCUUCAUUAGCUAGUUGGUCAGGUAACGGCUUACCAAGGCAACGAUGCAUAGCCGGCCUGAGAGGAUGAUCAGCCACACUGGGACUGAGACACGGUCCAGACUCCUACGGGAGGCAGCAGUGGGGAAUCUUCCGCAAUGGGCGAAAGCCUGACGGAGCAACGCCGCGUGAAGGAAGAAGGUCUUCGGGUCGUAAAACGCUGUUGUUAGGAAAGAACAGAUGUGGGAGUAACUGUGCACAUCAUGACGGUACCGAAACAAAAAGCAACGGCUAACUACGUG